GCUAGGUGUGGUAGUACAUGCUUAUAAUCGCAGAUUCCAAGGAGGCUGAGGUUGGAAGAUCUCUUGAGCUGGGGAGUUCUGAGCUGCUGUGCACUAUGCCAAUUGGGUGUUCACACUAAGCUUGGCAUUAAUUUGGUGAGCUGGAAGUGGGAGGCCACCAUAUUGCCUAAAGAAGCACAAACUUGUCCAAGUCAGGAAUGGACCAGGUCAAAGUUCUAAUGCUGGUCAAUAGAGGGAUAAAGCCCCUGAAUAGCCCCUUCACUCCCAGCCUUGGUAUGAGUACCACACUUAA
rnacentral:SRP_RNA from 1 species